GCUGGUGUGGCGAAACCGGUAAACCCAGAGAUCUCUCACCUCUCUGGGCUCAAGCCCUUGCGGGUUCGAGUCCCGUCACCAGCACCC
rnacentral:tRNA from 1 species